rnacentral:lncRNA from 1 species
GGCUGGUGCAGCGAUGUUUAAUGGCAAUUCGUAUAAACCAAGCCCAUGCACAAGUAGAAAGUGCCCGUGGAGCCGGCAGGAGGCCCCCGCCGCGCUAGAGAACCACAAGCCCGGCCGUGCAGCCCUCCCCGCGGCGCCUUAAAUAGAUUCUUCACUAUACUCUGUAUGUUACAGUAUGUACAAGACCCCUCCCCUCGGGGGACGGGGCGGACUCCGCAACGCGUUCCUAUGUACACCACCUCCCCUUCGGCCCUGAGGUCAGUGGCCAGAGUCGGGUGAUGGGGUAAGACAGGGCCAGAGAGGGAGGAAACAGACGCAAACAUGCGGAGUCGGGUGGGGACACGGUCAGCCCUGAAACACGAGGGGCGUGCGCAGCGAAGGCAGUGGUGGGAACCGAGGCGGAUACAUUCAGAGACGCGUCGAACAAAUAAAUAAGGUGCUGCUAACCCUGUCUUUCUGGGCCACUGUUCCAGACUCAUUCAUUUAUACUGAUGGGGCUCCCACUUGGGGGUCCCUCUGUGCUGAGAUGCUAUGGAGAAUAUAGGAUAAAAAGGAGAUACUCCAAGUGGGGAUUCAAAGCUGAACAAAUGGAGGACUUGACACCCU